rnacentral:rRNA from 1 species
GCGUGUGGAUGAACUAGCAUGCGAGUCAUUGCAGUAAUGCAAGGCAGACGGCUCAGUAACGCGUAGUCAACCUACCCUAUGGACGGAAAUAACCUCGGGAAACUGAGAAUAAUGCCCGAUAGAACAUUAUAUCUGGAAUGGUUUAUGUUCCAAAUGAUUUAUCGCCGUAGGAUGGGACUGCGGCCUAUCAGUUUGUUGGUGAGGUAAUGGCCCACCAAGACUAUUACAGGUACGGGCUCUGAGAGGAGUAGCCCGGAGAUGGGUACUGAGACACGGACCCAGGCCCUAUGGGGCGCAGCAGGCGAGAAAACUUUGCAAUGUGCGAAAGCACGACAAGGUUAAUCCGAGUGGUUUCUGCUAAAGGAACCUUUUGUCAGUCCUAGAAACACUGGUGAAUAAGGGGUGGGCAAGUUCUGGUGUCAGCCGCCGCGGUAAAACCAGCACCUCAAGUGGUCAGGAUGAUUAUUGGGCCUAAAGCAUCCGUAGCCUGCUUUGUAAGUUUUCGGUUAAAUCCAUACGCUCAACGUAUGGGCUGCCGGGAAUACUGCAAAGCUAGGGAGUGGGAGAGGUAGACGGUACUCGGUAGGAAGGGGUAAAAUCCUUUGAUCUAUUGAUGACCACCUGUGGCGAAGGCGGUCUACCAGAACACGUCCGACGGUGAGGGAUGAAAGCUGGGGGAGCAAACCGGAUUAGAUACCCGGGUAGUCCCAGCUGUAAACUAUGCAAACUCAGUGAUGCAUUGGCUUGAUGCCAAUGCAGUGCUGCAGGGAAGCCGUUAAGUUUGCCGCCUGGGAAGUACGUACGCAAGUAUGAAACUUAAAGGAAUUGGCGGGGGAGCACCACAAGGGGUGAAGCCUGCGGUUCAAUUGGAGUCAACGCCGGG